rnacentral:lncRNA from 10 species
CUAUAUCCUGUCCUUGUCCAUUGACCCAGCUGAAUUUUACUUUUAAUGCAUUUUCCUUCCACCUCCUACCUUCUUUGGUUUGUGAAUGGAGAGGUAGCCGUGACUUCCUGUGGCUGAGCCACUUCCUGUGGCUGAGGGAAGCAGCAGGCUGUCUGGUUACCUGAGCCAGGUCUGGGGCCAGGCAGCAUGCAUUCUAGUCCUGCCUGGGACACUCACUGGCCUCAAGAUCUUGGGCAAAACAGCUGACUGCUUUGCACCUCAGUUUCCUCAUCUGUAAGGUCCAGGACUACCCACUUCCCUUGGAAUGGUGUUGCCAUCACUGUUCUGGCACCGGAGGUAAGGAUUCUACAUCGUUAGGAGAAAAGAAAAAGGAGAAUUUGGGCUUGCACUGAGAGGAUUACCUUUGGUGGUCUGGAAGUGGUGGGGUUGCAGCAUUGAAGGCACCAUCUUGGAAGCAGAGACUAGACCCUCACCAAGCAAUUAACAUGCUGGUGCAUUGAUCUUGGACUUUCCAGCCUCCAGAACUGUGAGAAAUAAAUUUCUGUUCUUAAUUAAUUACCCAGUCCCAGGUAUUCUGUUAUAGCAGCACAAAGCUUAGACGGGCUCCUUACAUCUUGAGGCUCCAUUAUCUCCUGGGAACUGGGAGUCCUUAGGUUCUAGCCAUGGAAAGAGAAACAAAAGAUGGAGAAGGCACACAUGCUUCUUAAUGGUCGUGGUUCAGAAGUAACAAAUACUAAUUCUAUAUAUUCUACUGGCUCAACACAAAUGCAGGGGUGUGCUGGGAAUGGAGUCUCUGAUUGGGCAGCAGGGAUCAGGGAUCAAAGAUCAGGAAAUAUUCCAGGGUGAAUAUUUUACUAGGUGAGGAGGACCAUGAAUUUUGACAAACAGCCUUUGCUGCUCUACCCACUCCUCAUCAUCACUGUUAGACACAAAGAGAAAUGGCAGCACUUUUUGUCCAUUGAUUGUAACUCUUUCUUUAAAGACUUUUAAGGCAGAAUCUCAAUUCAUCUCUUCUAUGAAACUUUCAUGAUUCAAAGGGAAGUCCCUGCAUGGACACUGCCAGCUUCAUUGCACUUCUGCCUCUAUGCUUUUUCCUGAACCUUCUCCACCUCUGGAACGUACUUCAGGCUGCACAGGGAGCAUGGCUGGGAGGCCUCAGGAAACUGACAAUCAUCAGUAGAAGAUGAAGAGGAAGGAGGCGCAUCUUACAUGGCCAGAGAAGGAGGAAGAAUAAGAAGGGAUUCUCCAGCUGGAGCCCUAUAAAUUGGACUGACAAAAGACAGAUUAGCAAGAGAAAUGCAAGCAGCAGUUUAUUAACAUGUGCAUCAUGAUUACACAUGGAAGUACCCAGAGCAGGUCAUAAGACCUCAUGUGACAAGUGCCCUCCUUACUCCCAGAGAAAAGGAAGGAAGACACAGAAACACCACGAAGAAUAUGGACAAACAGACCUUGCUAAGUUCCCCCCCAUUUAUUACCAUGACAUCAUACUCCCUUUGUCCAAUCACACUUUCAUCAAACCUGAGCAUGAAAAUACACAGGUUUCUCUGUUUGGGGGGUGGGUCUUCAUUUUUGAAGUUUCCAUGUCAUGUAAAACUUAUAUUAAAGAAAUGUGUAUGUUUUACCCUUGUUAAUUU